rnacentral:rRNA from 1 species
UACGGAGGAUGCAAGCGUUAUCCGGAAUGAUUGGGCGUAAAGCGUCCGCAGGUGGCAAUGUAAGUCUGCUGUUAAAGAGUCUAGCUCAACUAGAUAAAAGCAGUGGAAACUACAUAGCUAGAGUACGUUCGGGGCAGAGGGAAUUCCUGGUGUAGCGGUGAAAUGCGUAGAGAUCAGGAAGAACACCAGUGGCGAAGGCGCUCUGCUAGGCCGUAACUGACACUGAGGGACGAAAGCUAGGGGGAGCGAAUGGG